GGGCGUAUAGCUCAGUUGGUUAGAGCGCAGCCCUGAUAAGGCUGAGGUCCCUAGUUCGAGUCUAGGUACGCCCACUA
rnacentral:tRNA from 1 species